GCCGGGUGUGGUGGUGCACGCCUGUAGUCCCAGCUACUUGGGAGGCUGAGGCAGAAGAAUCGCUUGAACCCAGGAGGCAGAGGUUGCAGUGAGCCGAGAUCACGCCACUGCACUCCAGCCUGGGUGACAGAGUGAGACUCUGUCUCAA
rfam:Homo sapiens chromosome 8, GRCh38 reference primary assembly.